UUGACAGCCCUGAAGUCCAAAGUCCUUUAUUUAUGCAUGAGCAGCAACAGUUCUGCCUUUCCCACACUGCCCUCCUGAUAUGCUUCACCCAUGACCUGAAGGAUCCCCCUUAAGGGUGACAGCUUUAGUAGCCUUCAUACCCAUUCACUCUCCAGUCCUCU
rnacentral:sRNA from 1 species